rnacentral:rRNA from 1 species
GAUGAACGCUGGCGGCGUGCCUAAUACAUGCAAGUCGAGCGAACAGACGAGGAGCUUGCUCCUCUGACGUUAGCGACGGACGGGUGAGUAACACGUGGAUAACCUACCUAUAAGACUGGGAUAACUUCGGGAAACCGGAGCUAAUACCGGAUAACAUGUUGAACCGCAUGGUUCAACAGUGAAAGACGGUUUUGCUGUCACUUAUAGAUGGAUCCGCGCCGCAUUAGCUAGUUGGUAAGGUAACGGCUUACCAAGGCAACGAUGCGUAGCCGACCUGAGAGGGUGAUCGGCCACACUGGAACUGAGACACGGUCCAGACUCCUACGGGAGGCAGCAGUAGGGAAUCUUCCGCAAUGGGCGAAAGCCUGACGGAGCAACGCCGCGUGAGUGAAGAAGGUCUUCGGAUCGUAAAACUCUGUUAUUAGGGAAGAACAAAUGUGUAAGUAACUAUGCACGUCUUGACGGUACCUAAUCAGAAAGCCACGGCUAACUACGUG